rnacentral:rRNA from 1 species
CCUACGGGUGGCAGCAGUGAGGAAUAUUGGUCAAUGGCCGAAAGUCUGAACCAGCCAAGUCGCGUGAAGGAUGACUGCCCUAUGGGUUGUAAACUUCUUUUGUCAAGGAAUAAAACGAGGCACGUGUGCCUGUUUGCAUGUACUUUAUGAAUAAGGAUCGGCUAACUCCGUGCCAGCAGCCGCGGUAAUACGGAGGAUGCGAGCGUUAUCCGGAUUUAUUGGGUUUAAAGGGAGCGUAGAUGGGUUGUUAAGUCAGUUGUGAAAGUUUGCGGCUCAACCGUAACAGUGCAAUUGAUACUGGCAGUCUCGAGUAGAGGUGAGGUAAGCGGAAUUCGUGGUGUAGCGGUGAAAUGCAUAGAUAUCACGAAGAACUCCGAUUGCGAAGGCAGCUUACUAAACUGUGACUGACAUUGAGGCUCGAAAGUGUGGGUAUCAAACAGGAUUAGAUACCCGGGUAGUC